UACGAAGGGGACUAGCGUUGUUCGGAAUCACUGGGCGUAAAGCGCACGUAGGCGGAUAUGUCAGUCAGGGGUGAAAUCCCGGGGCUUAACCUCGGAACUGCCUUUGAUACAGCAUAUCUUGAGUCCGAUAGAGGUGGGUGGAAUUCCUAGUGUAGAGGUGAAAUUCGUAGAUAUCGGGAGGAACACCAGUGGCGAAGGCGGCGAUCUGGGAAGAUACUGACGCUGAGGUGCGAAAGCGUGGGGAGCAAACAGG
rnacentral:rRNA from 1 species